rnacentral:lncRNA from 1 species
CUCUCCUCACGAAGAACCCUCCUCACAAACAUCUUUUUAGGUCUGCAAAAUAAACCCUAAACGCUCUCACGCUUAAACCUCUCUCUCUGUUGUACAAACCCUAAACGCGCAAACGCUCAAACCUCUCUAUCUGUUGUACGAACCCUAAAUGCUCAAACGCUCAAACGCUCCUCACAGUCACGAACCCUAAACGCUCGAAGCUGUACCGCAUCGAAAUCGCCACCAUCGGCGCCUCCGUGGAAGGAUUUUUUCAG